AGACUAAGUGCCUUCUCUAUCGAAGUUGACAGUUUGACCUCGCUCGAUCCAAGUCAAAGGCUGUAUCUUCUCCAUUAAAGUCGACAGUUUGACCUCGCUCGAAUUGAAUCAAAAUCAAAGUGCCUUUGCCAUCAAAAUUGAAAGUUUGACCUCACUCGAACUAAGACACAUGGUGUGCCUUCAUUUUCUGUUCAACAUUCGAUCGCGCUCAGAAAUAAAUAGAACCAAAACGCAAGACAAGUGGUGAAAACGAGUUCUUUAUGUA
rnacentral:lncRNA from 1 species